AUUGAACGCUGGCGGCAUGCCUUACACAUGCAAGUCGAACGGCAGCACGGGUGCUUGCACCUGGUGGCGAGUGGCGAACGGGUGAGUAAUACAUCGGAACAUGUCCUGUAGUGGGGAUAGCCCGGCGAAAGCCGGAUUAAUACCGCAUACGAUCUACGGAUGAAAGCGGGGGACCUUCGGGCCUCGCGCUAUAGGGUUGGCCGAUGGCUGAUUAGCUAGUUGGUGGGGUAAAGGCCUACCAAGGCGACGAUCAGUAGCUGGUCUGAGAGGACGACCAGCCACACUGGGACUGAGACACGGCCCAGACUCCUACGGGAGGCAGCAGUGGGGAAUUUUGGACAAUGGGCGAAAGCCUGAUCCAGCAAUGCCGCGUGUGUGAAGAAGGCCUUCGGGUUGUAAAGCACUUUUGUCCGGAAAGAAAUCCUUGGCUCUAAUACAGUCGGGGGAUGACGGUACCGGAAGAAUAAGCACCGGCUAACUACGUG
rnacentral:rRNA from 1 species